GUCGGCUGCCGGGAGUGGUUGUUCCUUGGCCUCUGAAGUCUGUGGACUCAAGCGGAGAAGGACUAAUAUUCUGUGAGACCUUGAAUCAGAAACACCUGGUCUACCUCAGUUAAAUGGUGACUGCUUAGACUGUUUGACUAAGAAAAUUUAGGCAAUGUUGACAAGUCUGAAACCAAGAAAGGUUUUACCUGGAUGUCUGGAGAUACAAGAGCAGGUGUUUAAUUCAGGUGAACAUGAUAUAAGAAUACAUGCCUGCCAGGGAUUUAGCUCAGUGGUUCUGCUGCCUGCCUCGCAAGCACAAGGUCCGGAGUUUGAUC